rnacentral:rRNA from 1 species
GUCUACAGCCAUACGAUCUUGAACAUGCCCAUUCCCAUCUGAUCUCCAAAUCCAAGCUGGGUUCAGCCUGGCUAGCACUUGGAUGGGGGACCACCUGGGAAUACUGGUGUGUCAAGA